AGGUAGAGAAAGACCAUUAGGUUGGGGCAGGGUUAGGUGUGUCUGAGCUCAGAUCCUCCUUGGGCAGGGCUUGCUGUGGCUGCUGUGGUGGAUGGAGUGUGGUUUCUAGGCCAAUGGAAUGAUGUUCCCAAGGUGAUUAUGGCUGCCUCUGCUGCAUCACACAGGUUGCCAGGGAAGCGGGGGAAAGCCAGCAGCCACAUGCCUCAUCCAGCUCCCACGCAGCCCGCCGCAGCCUGAAAGGCUGGUCUCACUCCCACUCUGUCCCCCAACCAGCACUGUAUUUCCAGGAAGCCAAUGGGAACUUGCCCCAGGCCACAAACCUCUCAGCUGAGAAAGCAAGCAGACUAUGGAUUCUCUCAGCCCUCCUGGAGAAAUGAUCUACCAUGACUGUCAAACCAAAGCACACUGGUUCAUCCUGAAGAGCAGACAGAAAGACUGGUGUUGUGUAAAAACAAAGUUGAUGUGGAGUCAGAGUUUGGUUUUCCCAUCUCCCAAAGGCUCCCAAUGGGCAGCUGUCAUAGACCCAUGGAGUGGACUCAUGCAGCCAAGAGUCACUAGCAGCCAUCCUUCCCCUUCACCGUCCUGAGACCCGGCUUUAUCCAGACAGCCCCACCUCCUUAACCCAAUGUGAGCUAGAGCCAGGUCCCAAGCCCCAGCCCCAGGAGGGUAGAUCUGUUUAGUCUAAGUCUACCACGGUGGUCCCAUUCUCCUGAGUUAUCCCAAUUCCCCUCAAUGAAAACUGAAGGGAACUGGGCUGCUGUGCUUCAGGGAAGUUUCACUGCUCUUAAAAGAGCCACGCUGGGGAACAGAGGCUCUCUGCUUCAACUGUUUGUUGUCAUUCUGACCACUGCAGCAGUCAAGUAAAGAUCUUGAAGGAAGCAACACUGAAGACAAAGUGAACAUAAUGAGGCUGGCAGAGCAGAAAGUGGGAAGAAAUCCAAGUCCUGGAUAUCAAUUAAUUGUAUUUAUCAGCCCUGGAACUGCCCAACCUUGGGACUUCUGUGAGGUGAUAUAAGUCUCUCCCAUUGUUUAAGUCCGUGAUCUCCAAAGUGAACAAGGUGAUCCACUGAGGUACAGGAAGAAAACGUAAGUUUUUAAGAGUAAAGAAGCCUUACCAAUACAUAACAGACACACAGGCUGCAUGGUAGUGGCCAGGCAGCACAUGCCAGUCAGUGAGGAAUCCUCAAAGAAGUGCUGAGAGCUCCUUAUCGCAGAGGGAGCAACAGGGACACCACUCUCUUCCAGAAUAUUGUUGUCUGUGUGCACCAUCAGUCAACUGGACGUAGAUUUUUAUUAUCUUACACAACAGCAUCUUGACAACAGUUUAUAAUGAGAUGAGGAAAUUAAACCCCUAAAUUUGCUGGUUAUCUCAUAGCAAAAUUCUUAAAUAUGGUAUAUAUUUUUUAAUUGAUAAAAAGGCUUGAAUGUGCUAAUCUUUCCUGUGGUGACAAGUGUCUGUAAGCAAUAUGCAAUCUAGAAGGUAUUUUUUUAAAUGGACAGAUUUAACCUGACCCUUCUAGGUAAAGAUAACAUAAUACUAAUGAUGACCAAGCAAGAAUUCAUGAAAAUGUGUUGCCAAAAAUUGUCACCUAUAAAAACUCUUCAAAGUGUGCACUUAAACUUGGGAAAUGAAAUUCAAAAAUAAGUUGCAGCAGGUUUUGAACCCAUUUUUAGCAAAAAUAAAAAUGCAGCGCUCCUAAUUAUUCAGCAUAAACAAGUUACUGACAUUGGAAAAGAUGAAAACUUAUUAUAAAAAUUUCAACAAACACUUUUGCAAAAUUGGUGGAUGGAACUCAAAAAUAUUUUCAGUAAGCACAGCCAUAUUUGGAUCCACAAAUCUAAAUUAAUGAAGUGACUUAUUCAGCUACAAUAGUCAUUAAAACCAAGCAUCAAAAUAAACUUACCUUAAGAACA